rnacentral:rRNA from 1 species
GACGAACGCUGGCGGCGUGCUUAACACAUGCAAGUCGAACGGAAAGGCCCUGCUUUUGUGGGGUGCUCGAGUGGCGAACGGGUGAGUAACACGUGAGUAACCUGCCCUUGACUUUGGGAUAACUUCAGGAAACUGGGGCUAAUACCGGAUAGGAGCUCCUGCUGCAUGGUGGGGGUUGGAAAGUUUCGGCGGGUUGGGAUGGACUCGCGGCUUAUCAGCUUGUUGGUGGGGUAGUGGCUUACCAAGGCUUUGACGGGUAGCCGGCCUGAGAGGGUGACCGGCCACAUUGGGACUGAGAUAGGGCCCAGACUCCUACGGGAGGCAGCAGUGGGGAAUAUUGCACAAUGGGCGGAAGCCUGAUGCAGCAACGCCGCGUGCGGGAUGUCGGCCUUCGGGCUGUAAACCGCUUUCGCCUGUGACGAAGCGUGAGUGACGGUAAUGGGUAAAGAAGCACCGGCUAACUACGUG